UUAUAUAUGGAUUUGUUCCUAAUAAGGAGUUGAUGGGCCUGGUGGGGCGAGGUGGGAUGAGGUAGAGCUUUUGUGUGAGUGAAUGUACAGUACAUGUGUUGUAUUAUUUUUGUUUUGUCUCGAGGACCCCCUCGAAAACGAGAUGUUUCAUCUCAAGGGGUUAUCCUCAACAACAACCACAAUAAAAA